rnacentral:lncRNA from 1 species
UUGUGUGAGAACCUCUGAAAGCAAGAAGGGCACUGAAAUGGCCUCUCGCCUGUGUGGGUGCGCAGGUGUUUCUUCAGCUUGAACGUUCGUGAGAAGCUCCAAGGGCACGAAUGACAUUCAAAUAAACGCUGGCCUGAAUGGACCAUAGAGCAAGCUUCUGAUCAUGUUUGUCUCACAGGCACAGGAGUUGCAGUGGUGGCAGUAUCCUUGAUAUGACUGCAUCAUCCGUAGUUGCUUGACUGCUGGAAUGCCUCAAUGCUGCACCAAGAAAACAAGACAUGUUACCUGAGUAAGGCUUUUCACU